rnacentral:tRNA from 1 species
GCCGCCUUAGUGCAGUGGUUAGCACGUUUCAUUGUGGCUGAAGAAACCCCUGUUCGAAUCAGGGAGGCGGCA